UACGUAGGAGGCAAGCGUUGUCCGGAAUUACUGGGCGUAAAGCGCGUGUAGGUGGUGGGACAAGUCUGCUGUGAAAGCGCCUGGCUUAACCGGGCGAGGUCGGCGGAAACUGUCCGACUAGAGGACGGUAGAGGGGGGUGGAAUUCCCGGUGUAGUGGUGAAAUGCGUAGAGAUCGGGAGGAACACCUGUGGCGAAGGCGGCCCCCUGGCCGGCCCUGACACUGAGACGCGAAAGCGUGGGGAGCGAACAGG
rnacentral:rRNA from 1 species